rnacentral:misc_RNA from 1 species
GUGAAUCAUCGAAUUUUUGAACGCAAAUUGCACUCUCUUGGAAGCCUAUGCCUGUUUCAGGGUCAGCCUCUAAAUAUCGACAUCGUUGCUGUUUCGCGGCGGUGUUCGUCGGAAAUUGGGUCAUCUUUAAUCUUUUGGUUUUAUGCGUCUUAAUAUUUUCUUUUUGGUUCUAUGAACGUUUCUAAUAUUUAUUUACUUACACGUUUAAGGUAUGGUUUUUUAUUAGACGUGACU